UUUACAGUAGACAAAGACAGACAAGGAAAAAGAAUGAAGAAUCCCGUGUAUGUGAAUGCGUCUGUACCAACAAUAUUCUCCGAUUGCUGUCUUGUUUAGUCCUUCACCUUGGAACAGAAACUUGGCUACAUCUUCAGAGUAAACACGUGGAACUGCUGUGACUGACAAAAACCUUUCAUCCAGGAAUGGAGUUCUCACAGACACUAUCUGGGGAUCAAAGUGAAAAUAUGACAUAAAUCACAGGUGUAAUUAAACUACAGGUCAAACAGCAGACACACAGCUUACCAACUGCAACUGCAGUGUUUCACAGCAUUCACAGUCGGAUAACAAUCACUGACAUUUUAUCUACCAGGUUUCCAAAACAACUUUCAGUUUGUAUGCAAUUUAUAUGCACAAAAACUUUCUCUCUUUUUUUUUCCAUGUAAAUGUAUGCAAUGAUAUGUUCCGAGUAUUAAAUCUUCUGGCUGCACGUAAUUUCAUUGCAGCUGAAAUACUGGGUCAUGAUUAUUUGUUCAGUUUGAACAUAAGGGUUAGGAGUAAUUUUCAAUGUAGAAUAAACAUUCUGCAGUGGCUUAUAUUCAUGGAAUUAACAUGCAAUGUAGAACCUAUUUUCAAGCGGACUCAAUACAUGUGUACCAACCACAACGGUUUCUGCCACAGGAAACAAAGGGUAAAAUUAUGUAUACAUUUUUUUAUAUAAUAUUUUAGAAAGAUUACAGUAAGAGAACUGCUGUUUAAAAUUUGUCAAAGGAUAUGAAAUGCAGUGUCCAAUCUCAAGGGAUUUCAAACCCAUUCCACCUACAAUGUAGUAGGGUCACUUAUGAUCUGUUUUGUUUGUAUUACAUACUGGUAUCCUAAAAUUAUUUUCUGGCAGAACGCCUUAUCAUGUAUUAAGCAGGGCUGCAGAAAAUACAUGUAUAGUCCACUUGCCAAAUGCGAAUAAAAAUUCUGACAGUCAGUUAAAAAUAUAUAACCACCAGUCCAGUGGGCCACCAUUUUUUUUCUGUCAUUUAGCUUUAUUUUCAGUUAUAUAAUUUAUUACAUUGCAUUAUAAUAAUAUUGACUUGCUGAGUUGGAUUAGUAGAAAUUCUGAUGGACUAGUAUAUUUUGGUUGGUACUAAUCCAGCUGAGUAGUGUGAUAUUUUCAAUUUCUGCAUUCCUGAUGAUGUGUUUAUGUCUUAGUCAGGGUUUCUGUCAUUGGGUAAAAUAGUUACAAACCCAAAAACAAUAAAAAUAAUGGUACAAGAUGGGGAGUCAAAACCUCUGUAAAAAAUUUAUAUAAUAAACCAGGAUAAAAAUAACAGAUAAAAGUCUAGAAAACUUAGCACGGUCUUGAAGAAGUUAUGGAUAGCUUUUUGUUAGAGAACAAUUACAAGGACAGGAACCUCUUCCAAUUUGUGUUAAAAUCCACAAAUCAAGAAAAACCAGAAUGUUUACUUCUGAAUAAAUGUGUCAAUUAUAUACUGACAUUAAUUUAUAUCUGAUGCAUUGUGAUUCAUUUAGUCUUUUGAACAUCUGUGAUCUUAAGCUUAUGGUCAACAAGGACAUCGACAAUAAUGAAUGUUUAGAUAUUUUUUUUCAUAUUUUUUUUGCUCAUUCUACUUCUGGUGAUGAAGGUCCUUCUAGCAAAUACACCAAUUUUUCCCAUUAGGGAACAUCUCAGUGUUUUGUCAAAGGGCAUGAAGUGUAAAAUUAUGUACCCUAAAAUCUUCGAAACUAAUGGAUGCAUUAUUAUAAUUUUUACAAAUAUUAUAGUAAGCUAAACAUUGUUUAAUUUUUUUUUUGUCAAAGUACAUGAAAUG